UCUAAUUAAGUUGUUUGCAAUUCUCUUAAGAAAUUAAAAAAAUGUCGAAGAGUCUUACAUUCAUCAUUUUGGCUUUGCUUGUAGUGGCAAACACUAAAAACAUGCUCAUUUCAGCUAGUAGAACUGGCCAAGGAUCUAAGCCAGAGGCUUUAUUUUCUAUUAACCCUGCAGCAUCACCUGACAUUGUUGAUUGCUCAGGGCUCACAAGUGAAGAGUGUUUGAUCGAGACGAUUAAGAAAGCUCUUGUAGACUAUCGGUACCCCUGCCCUGAGGGGGGGUGCAAAUGAUAUUGUUAAUAAGUUAUUUCUUUUACCUUGUAGGAGUGCUUUUGCAAUAACGAUCAAUUAUAGCAAAAUUGAAUUCGUGUUUUAAUAAAAGAAAAAAUUAAUCCAUUAUGCAUACGUAAUAUUAUGUCAUAUGUUUUUUUUGUGUGUAUCUCAUGUUGCUUUGUUAUAGAUGCGUCGUCGAAUCAAUCUUCGAGAAAGCAGUUUGUUUAAAUAAUAGCAAUUAUCAACCAAUCAACAAUACUUUGUUGGUACCAUUUGUAAUAUUUAAAUUUUAAGUCUAUCUACUCUUAG
rnacentral:lncRNA from 1 species